rnacentral:lncRNA from 1 species
GAAACUUUCGUACAACUAGCUGAAAGAAGAGAAACAUCUUAUUUUAUGUCACUGGAGCCCUAAUGAUCGCAGCCAUUUCAGGAGAUGCCAUCAAUUACAGUGAGGAGCUCAUUCAGAAGUGAAAGAUGAGUUCCAUUCUCUGUUACUUAGAGGUAUUACAAAGCUCAAAUCCGAGAAAACCUUGUCUACCAUCAACCCUGACCUACAGAGGAGAGCCACUCCCAAACUUAUUUGUGAUGCUGUCCCCGUGUUAUUGACACAUCCUGAUGGCCUUGAUCUCUAGUUCUUCCUUGGAGCAUAACCAUAUAGUUCUUUGCCAAGAUGUUAAGACCAAAGUCGGAGAGUGAACCCCGUGUCAAUGAAUUCUUGCUUUUCUGAUCUUACAUUCCGUCACUUUGAUCCAGUACUCUCAAAAUGCAAUCACAGUUGUACAUGCCUUCUCCUGUUAGUAAACACUACCUUAGUACUGCA